rnacentral:rRNA from 1 species
UACGUGGGGUGCAAGCGUUAAUCGGAAUUACUGGGCGUAAAGCGUACGCAGGUGGCUAUGUAAGCCAGGUGUGAAAUCCCCGGGCUUAACCUGGGAACUGCGUUUCUAACUGGCAGGCUUGAGUGUGGCAGAGGGGGGUGGAAUUCCACGUGUAGCAGUGAAAUGCGUAGAGAUAUGGAGGAACACCAGUGGCGAAGGCGACUUUCUGGUCUGUAACUGACACUGAGGCGCGAAAGCGUGGGGAGCAAACAGG